rnacentral:lncRNA from 1 species
GUUGGUCUACGGUACAACGUAGGAACCGGUUUUGCAGGCGAGCAUGCUACGGGUUAGGACUUCCCUCACUUCCAGUGCAAUUGGUGAGCUCCGCUUUUGUUCGUGGAGUACUCCUUAGUGUCAUCUUUAUUUAGCUAUUUCUUUGUUCACUUAGAGACCUGGCCAGAAAAUCUCAUGUCCUGAGCAGUGCGUCAGUUUAUCAGUAGAGGCUUCAUAGACACAGUCGGUGAGUUAAGAUUCAAAUGUUUUUGAUAAUAAUUUAGUAGUAUUUCAGUAGUUAAUACGAAUAAAGUUUUGAAUUUGAUUUAUUUUAAAUAUUUAAAUUAAUCAAAAGUAUUUGGUUAAAGUAUUGCCUUGUUGCAUAUAAAGUUUGAAGUUAUAAUAGAUUUGGUAAGCACAGAUGGUUCGCUCGGUCAUGUUUAGUGAUCGGGUUCCGGUCACGACUUGUUCAGAAAAUGAGUCGUGACAAAAGGGAUAAUGAUAUUACCAAUUGAAUAAUGAUAUUAUUCAUCCCCUAAAUUAAUAAGGUUCUCAUUCGAGCAAAAAUGAUAGUAUCUCUUGUAUCGUCUAUCAUUUUUUAUUCUUUUUCUUUCUUUUCCUACAGCUACUUCCUUUUUCUCUCCUCUUUUCUACUGUUACUAAAAAAGACAGAAACUUUGGCCCAUCCCUUCACCCACUUCAUGCCUAUGAAGUUUUAUUUUCUAGUAUUUCUCUGAGAAAAUAUUCAAAAUUGCUUCUUUUGUUUCAAGAUUUUUUUUUUUUGUUUCACAUAUAAGCAUGGAGGAAAAAGUGUCUAGUCGAAUUCUUUUGAGUUCUUGUUUCUUUCUGUUCCACUAACACUUCAAAAUUAUUUAUCCUUUCACAUAAUUAAUAUAGACUGUAAAAAAUAUGUAACAAAACAGUUCAAACCUAUGAUGUUACCAUGUAAAUUGUAAAUUGUAAAUCAUGACAACUUCAUAUAAUCACAUUAAUAUUGCUCAAUUGUAGUAAUCUAAAUAGAAUAAAAGAAAAUGUUUGAGGGAUAAUAUAAUAAUUAGAAAAUGUGAGAAUACUUAUAAAAGGGUUUACUUUAAUUCUUUUACGUUAAUUACAAUAUCACGAAAUUUAUCUAUACGCAAUAAAAUCUGAUCUUUAACAUGAAGUAAAUAAAAAAGGUUACUUGUAAUACUAUUUACCAAAAAUCUUGUUCUUGCCGGUCUUCCCAUGUGUAUCAUCAUGCCUCCAGGCUCCAAUUUCUCAUUUUUUUUCCGUGCAAAUCCUCUCCUGAAUUGUAUCAUUAAAAAAAAGGACUCUAUUACAAUUAAUUCAUCAAACAACCUUUACGAACUCUUUUUGUGCUCUGUUUCUUCGAUCAUUCUUCCACUGAUGCUAAAUGCAUCUGUAUUUUCUAAUAUACACAUGUAAAUGUAUGUGAAAUUGUGUGUGAGAAAGAAGAAAAUAAAAGAAGCGUAAUUAAGUAGAUUAAUGGGAAGAAGAGGAAGUCAAGGUUUUUUGGCUUUCUUAGGGAAAGCAAACGUAUAAUUGAAAAGGUAGAGGGAAGCUUUGAAACGGUGCUUUAAUUGUGACUCAAUAAGUGAGUGACGUUUCAAUGAAACGUUUGGNNNNNNNNNNNNNNNNNNNNNNNNNUUAAUUAACAUUAACAUCCGGAACAAUAUGGGCCAAUCACAGCUGAGUUAGUGGCGUAGUGCGUACCUAUAUAUAUAAGAAGACUCAACUCAACUUCAGUAUUUUUCAGCUGUCCUCUCCACAAGUUUCCAGAACCUUCUCCCCUCUCUAAUCUAUUGCAUCAGUAAUUUAAAGAGAUACUCCUAUAUAUCAUGUUUCGUCUUUUAGAAUAUCACUUAAUCGUAGAAAUUGCGAAGGCAUGAAAUACCUGUAGUUUUCAUGCUCGUGUGAUUCUCGUUUCUGAGGACUGAGGAGGUCGUAUUGAAGCAUGAAUAGGCGGCACAACAGUUUGACAUUGGAGGCCACUUACUACAGCAUUUGUUAAAGUCAUUCAGGUUGGCUGAGAACUUUAAGAAUCUACUGUAGUUGUUUUUGUCUUUCUUUUAUUUUGCAUAUGUUGCAGAUGCUUGCUAAUGAUUUACUUAUCCAUUUGAUAUGUUAGGCAGCAGCCUUGAAAAUUAUGAAAUUCUUGCUGAAAUGAAGUAGCAGAAUUUGUAAUUAUUGAAACUUUUUUCAUUGGAGUGUGCAAAGCAUUAUAGAGUGGUGAGUCAUUUGGAGUGAAUAGUCUGUACAAUUUGGAGAAAGUUGUGAUAAGUGAAUGAAGAAAGAAGUAAGUACACAUUGAACAAACUUUGCAUGAAUAAAUUGAAAAAAAAAUAAAAAAUCUUAACUUCUAGCAGCAAAAUCAUCUUGGGCCUGAUAGGACUGAAGGUAGUAAACUGUAAAGGAGUUGAAUCUGAAAAAGUAAUAUUUGGUAAUUUACUCAUUGUUUGUGGCUUAAAGAAGCUAUAGUCCAGAUUCUUUUCAACAUCCAAAACACCUUCCAUUGACUUGACAACCAUUGACAUUGAAGGCCUCUUUGUGUAAUCACUUUGUAAACACCAGGCAGCAAUCUGCAUAGUCUCUAUUACUUCUUCUUUGUAAGACUGCAUAUCUUCACUAUGCUUAUCAAUAAGAUCCUCCAAUUUCCCUUCCUCUGCCUUUUUCUUGAAUAAGUUCAACAUUACCCUUUGCUCUUCUGACUCGGAUGCCUCAAAAUGUCUUCUUCCACUCAAAAUUUCCAAGAUCACAAUGCCAAAGCUGUAGACGUCUACCUUUUCUGUUAUAACUCCACUAAGCCAUUCAGGAGCCAAAUAACCAGGAGUGCCUCUCAUCGUAGUCAUGACUUGGCUAUGAUUCCGAUCAAUUAGCUUUGAAAGCCCAAAGUUAGAGAGCUUAGCGUUGUGCUUCUCAUCUAGGAGUAUGUUUGGGGGAUUAAUAUCCAGAUGUAGAAUCUUUUGCCUGCAUUCUUCGUGAAGGUAAGCUAAACCUUUGGCUAUGUCUUGAAUAAUCUUCCGCCUGCAGUUCCAAUCAAGAGUAAGCUCUUGUUUCCCAUGGUAAAUCCAUUUUUCAAGUGAUCCAUUGAUCAUAAACUCAUAUAUUAAAAGCCUGUGAGAUUUCUCAGCACAGAAGCCAAUUAAUUGCACCAAGUUUACAUGAUGUAUGUUGCCAAAUAGUUUCAACCUCGGCUAGGAAUGAUUUUUUGACUUGGCCUAUUCCGUCGAGGCAUUUCACUACAAUCUUUGUGCCAUCUUCCAGGCACCCCUCAAAUACCGACCCAAAUCCUCCUUCGCCAAGCUUCUUCGUAAAAUUCUCUGUUGGAGCCUUUAGAUCAUCAUAAGAAAAUCUAGUGGGCAUUCCCGGCAUGUGAUCUAGAUAAUUCUCCUCGUCUUCAUUGGAUUUUCUCUUCUUCGAGAAUAUGAAAAUUGUAUUUGCAAUUAUGAUGCCUAAGAUGGAAAGUCCUAUGACAGAGCCCAGUUUAGCACUAUUAAUACUCUUUUCCCCUUUUGCAGCUGCUAGUUCAACUUCAACCUGUACUUUUAUAAAUGCAUUGGAAGCAUACCUUGUCCUGGCCUUGUCAUUAUUCGCUAGUGAAAAGAUCUCGGAUGGUAGGUAGCACUCCCCCAACGGAAGAGUUUAAACCACUACGAAAUAAAGCAGCUUUACAGGAACAGUUCCUCAAACAUGCAUCUUUACAGGUAUUCAUAUCAGUGUUUCUAAUAUCUGCAGUAAAUGCGAAAUAGUCCACAUCUUGAAGUUCCAAAAAUCUGUGGUUAUUUAAAUCAUCACAAGUCAGCCUUGUGACCUCAGAACAACCAAGAUUAGCCUGCCUAUCAUCUAUCUGUCUGAAAUAGCUUGUUGAAUUAGAGCAUGAUUUGGGACAACUACACUGGCCCCUUGAGAAAAUACCGUAUAUUCCGCAGACCAUGGGGUAAUAACACUCACCAUAAAAAUUUGUCAGGAGAUCAUCCACCUCUUUCCACUGACCUCGCCAAUCAUACACUUUUAAGCUUCCAUCAGGCUCAAGUUUCAUGUAUUGGUAUCCAAGGUCGUUCAAAUUUUGAUGAUUAUUUUGAUCUUUUCGCUUUGUGCUUUGGGGCUUCGCACUUAGAAAUAAUAGAGUUCUACACUUCUACGGUUGGUCAAUGGGAGUAUA